GACGAACGCUGGCGGCGUGCUUAACACAUGCAAGUCGAACGGAGUGGCGAACGGGUGAGUAACACGUGGGUGACCUUCCCUGCACUUCGGGAUAAGCCUGGGAAACUGGGUCUAAUACCGGAUAGUGUGGGAUGGGCCCGCGGCCUAUCAGCUUGUUGGGGGGGUAAUGGCCUACCAAGGCGGCGACGGGUAGCCGGCCUGAGGGGGUGGACGGCCACAUUGGGACUGAGACACGGACCAGAGUCCAACGGGGGGCAGCGGGGGGGAAUAUUGCGCAAUGGGCGGAAGCCUGAUGAAGCGACGCCGCGUGGGGGAUGACGGCCUUCGGGGUGUAAACGCCUUUCACCAUCGACGCGGUAGAUGGAGAAGAAGCACCGGCUAACUACGUGCCAGCAGCCGCGGUAAUAC
rnacentral:rRNA from 1 species